rnacentral:rRNA from 1 species
UGGGGAAUAUUGCACAAUGGGGGAAACCCUGAUGCAGCGACGCCGCGUGGAGGAAGAAGGUCUUCGGAUUGUAAACUCCUGUUGUUGAGGAAGAUAAUGACGGUACUCAACAAGGAAGUGACGGCUAACUACGUGCCAGCAGCCGCGGUAAAACGUAGGUCACAAGCGUUGUCCGGAAUUACUGGGUGUAAAGGGAGCGCAGGCGGGAAGACAAGUUGGAAGUGAAAUCCAUGGGCUCAACCCAUGAACUGCUUUCAAAACUGUUUUUCUUGAGUAGUGCAGAGGUAGGCGGAAUUCCCGGUGUAGCGGUGGAAUGCGUAGAUAUCGGGAGGAACACCAGUGGCGAAGGCGGCCUACUGGGCACCAACUGACGCUGAGGCUCGAAAGUGUGGGUAGCAAACAGGAUUAGAUACCCUGGUAGUCCACACUGUAAACGAUGAUUACUAGGUGUUGGAGGAUUGACCCCUUCAGUGCCGCAGUUAACACAAUAAGUAAUCCACCUGGGGAGUACGACCGCAAGGUUGAAACUCAAAGGAAUUGACGGGGGCCCGCACAAGCAGUGGAGUAUGUGGUUUAAUUCGACGCAACGCGAAGAACCUUACCAAGUCUUGACAUCCUGCGACGGACAUAGAAAUAUGUUUUUCCUUCGGGACGCAGAGACAGGUGGUGCAUGGUUGUCGUCAGCUCGUGUCGUGAGAUGUUGGGUUAAGUCCCGCAACGAGCGCAACCCUUAUGGUCAGUUACUACGCAAGAGGACUCUGGCCAGACUGCCGUUGACAAAACGGAGGAAGGUGGGGAUGACGUCAAAUCAUCAUGCCCUUUAUGACUUGGGCUACACACGUACUACAAUGGCGUUAAACAAAGAGAAGCAAGACCGCGAGGUGGAGCAAAACUCAGAAACAACGUCCCAGUUCGGACUGCAGGCUGCAACUCGCCUGCACGAAGUCGGAAUUGCUAGUAAUCGCAGAUCAGCAUGCUGCGGUGAAUACGUUCCC